rnacentral:rRNA from 1 species
UACAGAGGUCCCAAGCGUUGUUCGGAUUCACUGGGCGUAAAGGGUGCGUAGGUGGCCAGGUAAGUUUGGUGUGAAAGCUCGGAGCUUAACUCCGAAAAGUCAUUGAAUACUAUCUGGCUGGAGGGUCGGAGGGAGACUGGAAUUCUCGGUGUAGCAGUGAAAUGCGUAGAUAUCGAGAGGAACACCAGUGGCGAAGGCGAGUCUCUGGACGACUCCUGACACUGAGGCACGAAAGCUAGGGGAGCAAACAGG